UAGGGUUUCUUUCCCGGUCGCUUCAAGAUCUAAGCUUUCUGAGAGAUGAAUCUCUGUAGAUCCAACACCAGAUCGACUGACUUGGUGGAAGAUCUGGGUUGCAUCUUUGUGUCUCGAUAUGGUGGAGGAAGAUCUGGCCAGCUCUAGGUCGAUGUAUACUAAAGCUUCAGAUCUAGGUUGUGAUUUCCCAGACUUGGUGGAAGAUCUGGGUUGCAUCUUUGUUUCUCGAGAGGGCGGAGGAAGAUCUGGCCAGAUCUAGGUCGAUUUAUUGUAG